GUUCUGUCCGUUUUGUGCUGUGCAACUGGGGGAUGCUCCCAAGUUUUGCCCGUCGUGUGGUAUGAACGUGGGGUUCCUUACGGAGCGUCCAUCCACGUCAUCAAGCGUAGGCCAUGGGCCUACAGUGAAUGAGACAAGUAUCCAAGGAAGAGCAGCUCAAUUCAUGAGGUUCAGGGAAGUUAAAGAGGCUGAGAGGAGGACCUUUUCAAAGGCUAAAAAGAAACCAAACAUUACGGUCAAGAUAUCGAUUGGCAUAAUGACCAGAACAAAAUAUGGGUUAAAACCUAAGGGGGAAAACCUUGCCAUUAAAUGUUGAACCCCUGUGGUCAUCAAAACAAAUUUUGCCAGCUGCUAUAAAAAAACAGCGAGAUUUUAAUCAAGACACAAUGUACGAUGGAGAAUAUGUCCUGGUCUAUCCUGAUGGCUCUCAGGUACAAAAUAUACCAGGCACAGACAGACCCUUUGUCCUUGAACAUUAUAAAGAGGCCAUUGGAAAGACUUACCAGAGGAUCGUACUGUACAUCUGCCCCCUUCAGGAUUUGAGUCAUGGAGAUGACUCAUUUUCAGAAUCUGAUGAUGAAGCAUUUGCUAGGCUUCCACUGAAAAUUUUACCAAAACAAUGUCCACCAACAAUGUCCAGGCCAUCUGAUGGGCAAGCCAACGGAGCAGGAGCAGAACCAAAAAACAACACAUCAUGUGACUCCUACAACACAUAUACCAAGAUCUAUGCCCCAGUUGUCAUUGACAGCAGUUGCUCUGAUGUUGAGGACGUAGAGAACUUUCAGAAGGAAGACAGAGACACCGAUAUUGGACUGACGGCUGCAGACAUUCUGUCAAAUCUGUCAUUCAACAUUAACACAAUGAGCUGUAGCAGGUUUAAUAUAAACCGUGCUAAUGUCUGGGACCAAUGUCUGGUGCUCUGAUUCAAACGUUCCUCAUUUGACCCCACCUGAAGCCUUUUGGUCAAAUUCACCGAUGACAUCGGGCAAACAGAGGAGGCUGUGGACACAGGAGGGCCUACGCGGGAAUUUCUUACACUCUUGAUGGACGCCAUUAAAACCAGUAGAUUUUUUGAAGGCAAAGAUGAUGGCAAAUACCUGUCAUUUGAUAGCAAAGCUGCAGAAGGUGAUGAGUAUUUCCAGGUUGGAAGAAUGGCUGCGGUCUCUAUUGUACAUGGUGGUCCAGGGCCUCGAUGCUUUUCCCCAAGCUUCUACCAGUACCUGGUUGGUAAAGUGAAGACCAUUGAGGCCCCAAUUGAGGAUAUACCUGAUACUGAAGUCAGGAAUGUUCUCCUUGAGAUUAAGAAUGCUAGAACAUUGGAGGAACUCGUAGAACUCGCAGAUAAGCACUCCAGCAUGCUUCAGACAGCAGGAUGCUAUCGAUGCCUGAGGACACUGGGGGAUAAGGAAAAAGUUGUGGAUGGUUACAUCCAGUGGUAAUUCACCUACCGCAACCAUGUUUCCUUCCAGAGGUUCAAGGAUGGCCUGGCUACCCUCAACUUUUUCAACGCUCUGGAACAGCAUCCCUCCAUUUUCCUGCCCUACAUGUGUUACAGAGCGGAAGACCUGACAGCCGAGAGUGUAGAGUCACUGUUCCGUCCACAAUUGAGCCCAACUGGUAGCUCAAAUCGGCAUGAGGAGGAGAGAGUGCUUGGCUACUGGCUGGACUACUUAAUCGCUGUAAAAGAGGACGGGUCAGGGAUGUCUCUGCAGGACAUUCUAAUGUUUGCAACAGGCCUGAAAGAAAUCCCAGCAGCAAAAUUAAUACCACAGCCUCAACUCACAUUCCAGAAACACGCAAGGUUUCCUGAGGCUAAUGUCUGCGCUAACACAAUAAAACUCCCGAUCUUACCCUCAUAUGAAAUCUUUGAGGAAGCCAUGAAUUAUGGAAUCAAGAACGCCCCUGGAUUUGGGCUUCAUUGAGGUGUCAAUCAGAAAUUAACAUUCGUGGCAAAUUUGCAUUACUGUUGUUACUGU